CCUCUUUCCAAAUAGAGUUUCAUUCUGAGGUAUUGGGGUUAGGAUCCUGACCUACGACCUUGAAGAGGCACAGUUAAGACCUUUACUCUAGUUACAGCAAUAAGCCCACCUCUGCCUGAGAGGCCAGUACAUCAGGGCUCUCCCUGUCCGACAUCACCCGACCCGUAACAGUCCACAGACUCUUCUGGAGAGGACUGGAGCUCAAGCAAGGUUCUCAGUAGGUGGUGGAUUCGUGGAAGGAGGGGCCUGGUUGGAGGAAGUUGGUCACUGAUGGCAUGUCCUUGGGGGUUGUACCUAGUUAACCUGAACCCUUCUGAGUAUGGCUCCAUUCUGUCUCCUGUCUGCGAUUAGGUUCACUCCUCCACUCUGCUUCCUGUCUGCCAUGCUGUGAGCUCCUCCUCUCUGCCUCCUGUCGGUCGCACUAUGAACAGCCUUCUCUUCCACUCUGAGAGUUACCGUGAUGUUCCACCCAGUGUAUGGACCCAAGUGACCAUGGCCUGCAUCCUCUGAGAUACUGAUCAAGAUAAAGCUUACUUCCAUUUAAAUUGUUCUUUAGGGUGUUUUAGGCACAGUGCGCCAUAGUGACAAUUCCAGGACUUCACUGCUCUCCCCGUCGGAGCUCCCUUUUGUUCAAAACACUUCUUAAGUUACAACUCGCCGAGGUGACCAUGCUUCCACGUGACUGUGACUCACUUCCUUGUGUGAUGUGUGACUUCAGCGUUAGCACUUGAGCUUCAUGGAAUGUCACAGAUUCUUCAGCAGAAACUGAUGACUUCAGCUCUCUAAGCUCAAACGUCCCCCUGGCUGCUUACUAAGUAUUUACUGCCUUGUGAGAUCCAUGGCCGCUCGGGUAUGGUGAGAAGCCCCUGGAAGAAGCUCAGGGAGAGUGGAUCUGGCGGCAGCAGGCCUGGCUGGAGACCUGAGCUCUCUCUUGUCAUGCUCUUGGUCCUUGGCCAUGAUCAGGGCCCUGCUGUAAGCAUCCUUCUCUGCCUCUUUAACAUCCAGCCUCUCAUUUUCUCUUGACUUUGUGUAUCUCUCCCAUGGUCCUUACUUUGUGUAGCCAUGGCAGGCCAGAAACAUUCGAGAGAGUCGCUUAAAAGGUGGAAAGAUUUCUUUUUUUUUUUUUUUUUUUUGGACUCGUGGUUUUAGAGGGCUCACAGCGAAAGGCUGGUGUGCGGGAAGGAAGCAACCCCUGUUUCAUGCUUCCAUGCUCGGAUCUGUAAUCGUUUGAGGUCUGCUUUAUGUUUGGUAGGAGGGAGAGCUAAACUCCAUGUCUCAUUAUUUGUGUAGAUAAUGGACGCACCACCGAGUACUGAAAGCAGCCAUUCUCCCUUCUCUCGGCAGCAAGUAAUGACUAAGGACCCUAACUGACACCACUCUCUCCCACCAGCCUGUUCUUGUCCUAACAUCACAUCCUGGCUUAGUAAGAAGUCUUGGUAUCUUAUGAGGCCAGUCUUGGCAUUGUGUUUCCUUGGAUACCUGGAAAUUGUAUUUCCCUGUGAAUUUUAGAGUCAAUUUAUUGAUUUUUCACAUGAAUGCACACCUGUAGGGAUCUGCAGGGACUCUGACUAGAACUUUAUUAAAUCUUCCAAUCAAUUUCAACCCUAUUAUCAAAAGGUAAUAUCAUUACCAGGUCUCCCCUUUAACUUUGUCUUCUUCUCCUCAUAUUCUCAGCCCAUGGUCACUGUGCGCUUCCCACUUAUUUAAGUCUGCCUUUGUCUUUCUCAAUAGCAUCCCAUUACCUUGAACUAAAUAUGUCGUUAGACUUUCUUCCUUUCUGAUUUUAUACACUGCACUCAACAUCUACUUGUAAAAUUUAUUCUAUGUUUGUUUCUGUUAGGGGAAUGUAAGCCUUGCUGUAUUUUUUGUCUUUAUCUGAUAACUGACAAUUUAUGGCAAUAAGUGUAAAUUUAAAUCACUUGUCUACAUACACAAUCCUAUUAUUUGUUAAGAAAAAAAUAAGUGGGUAUCUUUUUUUACCUUUCAAACCUUGAGACUUAAAGUGUUGGUUUGGGCCACAGGUGUAAUAGUAAAUAUAAACGGUGAAAACAUAGCUCCUAUGUCAGCCUGGGAGGAAGAAGCCAGUAUUUCACCUGCCUUGUGAGAUCUGCAGGCCUUGGAUUGAGUGAGAGGUCCCUGGAAAAAGCUCCCUGAGAAAGAGGCAGAGUGGAGCUGGCUGCAGCAGGCCUGGCUAUAGUUCUGAUCUAGGUCAGGACAUGGUCAGCCUCAGGUCAACUGUUCCUGCACGGGCUGGAAGAUGCAGAGAGGACCAUCUGGGAUGGGAGAACAGGUCUGACUCUGGGAAGAGACUGAUGACCCAAAAGUUUCCCAGUGCCUGCUCCCCCCGGUGAAACAAAUUCUAGUGAGCAAUCCUUGGGCCUUGAAAAUGCUUCUGCUUCCUCUUCUGGAAGGACUGGUAUCCGUGGCAAGGCAAGUAGACAUCCCAGCCAUGCUUUGGUGGCCACUUCACUGGGCCAUGAGCCAGCUAAUUCUUCAAUGGCCAGGACUUUGGACAUCUACCGUGAUGUACACAUGCUUCUCCAGCUUUGUGCUUCUUCAAAACAUAUCGCCUCACUCUCCCAGGACAGGUAACUCUUGUCUCCUGAACCAAGUAGAGCCAUGGUGAGAGAUUCCUGUGGAGGCUGGGGAACGACACAGAUCGAACUCAUGGGGGCCCAGGGAUUCAGGAAAUGAAGGAAAGGAAAAAGAUCAGUGUGGGAACUAAAAGGGGGCUGGGAAGAGGGGGGAAGGGAGGACAGCCCACCUCUAGCCAGAGUUCCACCUAUGCUCUGGACAGGCAGAUGUGGGAGGGCUGUCAGGCGCUUUCUACUCGGCUCCGGGUGGGCAUCUAAGCCACUGACCCCACUCGAUGGGGGGUGGACAAGGGGCAG
rnacentral:lncRNA from 1 species